CCUUCGAUCCUCAUAAUAUUAAGGAUCUAAUUUUCUAAAAUAUUAAUGGAAUUAAUGUUAUAUUUGGAACUAAAAUAAUCAGAGAAGAACCAGAAUCAAAUCAUCAUCAAUUCUAAUAAACCCAACAACGAAAAAAUUAGCAGAUUAGGAGAGUGAAAGAGGAAGAAGAAUAAUUACCCAGAUUCACCAUAAACGAAGUCAAUCACAGAAGCAAAUUUUAAAAAAUUAGGGUACAUAAUUUGGGAAUCUUACUCGUGAUUUCAACAGAAAGUAGCAAAUCGAAAAAAUUGACAG
rnacentral:lncRNA from 1 species